GAGUACAGCGGCGCACGGGUGCGUAACACGUGAGUAAUCUGCCCUGGAGCCCGGAAUAACCUCCCGAAAGGGAAGCUAAUGCCGGAUGAGCCCACGGGGUCCUUGGACUCUGAGGGAAAAGGCGGCCUCUGUAUACAAGCUGUCACUUCAGGAUGAGCUCGCGGCCCAUCAGCUAGUUGGCGGGGUAAUGGCCCACCAAGGCUACGACGGGUAGCUGGUCUGAGAGGACGAUCAGCCACACUGGAACUGAGACACGGUCCAGACUCCUACGGGAGGCAGCAGUGGGGAAUCUUGCGCAAUGGGCGAAAGCCUGACGCAGCAACGCCGCGUGUGUGAUGAAGGUCUUCGGAUCGUAAAGCACUGUCGCGAGGGACG
rnacentral:rRNA from 1 species